rnacentral:rRNA from 1 species
CAAUAGCGUAUAUUAAAGUUGUUGCAGUUAAAAGCUCGUAGUUGGAUUUCUGGUUUGAUGCCCUGGCCCGCUGCCAUUUUGGUAGUGUGUGCCGGUUGUGCGUCUGCCAUCCUUCUAGGGAACGUUCCUUCUCUUCACUGAGCCGGGUUCGUGAUCUAGAUCGUUUACUUUGAAAAAUUAGAGUGUUUAAAGCAGGCUUUUGCUAUGAAUACAUUAGCAUGGAAUAAUAAUCUAGGACUUCGGUUGCUAUUUUGUUUGGGUUUCUUGGAACUAGAAGGUAAUAGAGUUGUAUAGGGAGUAGUUGGGGGUGGCUAGUAUUGUAGCGGCCAGAGGU